UGUUUCAUGGUAGCCAAUCAAUGCCAGUGUUUUUACACACAUGCCGGCACACGCGGCAGCGACAGCGGCGCCAAACACACACACACACGCAACAGCUACACAGAGAUUCACAGCAGAGAUGGAGAGUCAGGAGCAAUCCGAUGAAAAGUUGGCAUUUUCAAGACUUUCCUCACAUCCAUCCACUUUAAUUGGAGACCUGGAUAAUGACACACCAUCACAUACUUUCCAGAAAGAGCAUGAUGAGAGGGGAACAGAAGAUAACAAUAGGAACUGAGGAAUGAUGGCAUUGAAAUGUUAGAAGCAAUAAAUAAACAAUGAAGUGGCAAUUUGAAGACUAAAGGGAGGAGAAAGAUUAAUUGUCUGUUGUUUGCGGAUUGGCUGUCAGCAAUCAACUUCCUGCUGGGCAUUUUUAUGAGGUGUGCACUGUGAAUUGAGCCUUUGUAUGUGCUGAAUCUCCAUGCUGAUGAAAUUAGGGCUCGGUGAAGGAAUGACAAGAUGCAGAGAUGAAGGGAAAACUGACAGAGGGAAAUAAAAGUUGCAUCUAACUGCUAAUUUCUCCCUUCAAGAUAAUAAGAAAUUCUCUUUUUGCACUUUGUUGUGCUGUACACUGUGGAUUUGGACGCAGCUCUCCUUUGAGCGGCUGUUUAAUUAUGCAGGCUGAAUCUGAAGCCAAAGCCCCUUCAGUAACACUUUCCGAAACCCCUCCACCCCGUCAGGAUUAUCCACUGACCAAGAGGAAGACAAGAGCCUUGCUUGGGUUACAUUUGAAUUCUUUGUUUUAUCAAAUGAAAAUGAUGACUUCGAUAAAGAUACAAAAGCCCAA